rnacentral:hammerhead_ribozyme from 1 species
AUCUAGCUGAAGAGUUCCAAAUAGGACGAAACGCGCGUUCUGGAU